AGACAAACAGCCGACACACCCAAAGUGCAUCUAUCGCCAUCUUUUCAGCUCAACACUCGGCUCGAAGUCGACGUCGACUGUCAUUAACAACGUUUAGCGAUUUUAGCACAAUUUGCAUUAACAAUACACUGACACACACGUGCAGAUCUACUCAAUAAUCAAUAUUAUAUGGAGGCAUCAGAUGGAGAGCCUUCAAAAGUGCGGAGUUUUGUUUGGAUUUCGCCAGGCGAAGGCAUACAAAAAUGGAGCUGCGAUCGAUUGCCACACAAAACGCUGCAAAAAACUGGGCAGUUUGGAGCGAUGAGCUGCAUCACGAUUUAGCUAUGUGUGCACAUAUAUUCUAGAGGAAAAAUCUUAUUAAAAUUUUAUUGCAGCAAAAUGGAAAACUGAAAACUGGCAUCGCCUAAGCUUCAGCUAAAAACGGAAUUCGUGCGCAUCAAACAGCUUCAGUUGAGAUUUCUGUGUCUUUUCUAUGUAGCGGAACACCUGCUCGGAUGCGAAGUUGAGGUUUCUUUAGCUACGGAUACACUUAGAGAAGAUAUGUGUUCGAUGGCGUCCGGCGCAACCGCAGCUGCCGAGCGGUGUGUGAUGCAUCAGAGUUGGAACUGGCUAAGACGACUGCAGCGAUCCGACGACCUUCUUACCGCCCCGUCCAAACAGAAACCGCCCCAUCGGGCCAAUUGUGCUGCAAACGCGCGGCGACCUUAGUCAUUUGUCAGCUCGAAUGGGCAAACUGGCAACUGGCAACUGGCAAGCGGCAACAGGCAACCUGGCUAACUGGCAACAUGGGAAAGAAGAGGCAACACAAUACUCCGCAUUGCCAUAAUGCAGAUGCGACUGCCACUGCCUUUGACUUGCCACUUUCCUGGCCGACAUUGCCUUUGUCUUGGCCGGAGUCGUCGCCUGGCUAACUAAAUAUCAUUGGGUCAAGUUCAGCGCGGGCUUGGUGGAAAGGCGAGACAAUCCAUCUAUUAAAUUGGAUUCCAAUUCCAGUGUGGCAGCGGGAAAAUUGAAAACAUAUUUUAUACGAUUUUCCCCCGGCUAAUCGCCAGCGCUUUGAUUUAUACAUCUUCACAGUUUUAUUGUCGGCACGCAGUCAACGCCCCAUUGCAGCACCCCGGCGCAAGUUCAUCUCUGGGUCUUCGUGUCAUGGUCCGAGAUAUAUGAUUCAUUUCAAAAUGAUUUGCUAUGCCACGGCCGACUUGGAGGCAAGGGAGCUAACCCAGUGCAGGUGCCUGCUGCCUGGUGGCUGCAUCGCCCCACUUUGAAGUUCAGGCAGGUUGAAGUCAUGUCCUCCUGCCUUCCCAUCCUCCCAGAUGCGCCUUGUGGGCCUGGCCAUUUUAUUGCCCAUCUGUUGGCGCAGGCCGGCUACUUUCUCACAUAACCCGGCCAUGGGAAAUGCGGAAAAGCUGCCAUCGUCGAAUUCAAGAUGCUCUGGGAGUGCUGGGUGUCAAGUUCUGAUACGAAUUUACUCAAAUAAAUCACAAAAAUCUUAAGUUAGAACUCAUACAUCUAAAACAUGAACAAGUUAAGCUCGUAUAA
rnacentral:misc_RNA from 1 species